rnacentral:rRNA from 1 species
AUACGAAGGGGGCUAGCGUUGCUCGGAAUUACUGGGCGUAAAGGGCGCGUAGGCGGAUCGUUAAGUCAGAGGUGAAAUCCCGGAGCUCAACUUCGGAACUGCCUUUGAUACUGGCGAUCUUGAGUGUGAGAGAGGUAUGUGGAACUCCGAGUGUAGAGGUGAAAUUCGUAGAUAUUCGGAAGAACACCAGUGGCGAAGGCGACAUACUGGCUCAUUACUGACGCUGAGGCGCGAAAGCGUGGGGAGC